AAUGGGGGAAACCCUGAUCCAGCCAUCCCGCGUGUGCGAUGAAGGCCUUCGGGUUGUAAAGCACUUUUGGCAGGAAAGAAACGUCGCGGGUUAAUACCCCGCGGAACUGACGGUACCUGCAGAAUAAGCACCGGCUAACUACGUGCCAGCAGCCGCGGUAAUACGUAGGGUGCAAGCGUUAAUCGGAAUUACUGGGCGUAAAGCGUGCGCAGGCGGUUCGGAAAGAAAGAUGUGAAAUCCCAGAGCUUAACUUUGGAACUGCAUUUUUAACUACCGGGCUAGAGUGUGUCAGAGGGAGGUGGAAUUCCGCGUGUAGCAGUGAAAUGCGUAGAUAUGCGGAGGAACACCGAUGGCGAAGGCAGCCUCCUGGGAUAACACUGACGCUCAUGCACGAAAGCGUGGGGAGCAAA
rnacentral:rRNA from 1 species